rnacentral:rRNA from 1 species
CAGUCGCCGCGGUAAAACGUAGGUGGCGAGCGUUGUCCGGAAUCAUUGGGCGUAAAGGGAGCGCAGGCGGGCAUGUAAGUCUUUCUUAAAAGUUCGGGGCUCGACCCCGUGAUGGGAAAGAAACUGCAUGUCUUGAGUACAGGAGAGGAAAGCGGAAUUCCCAGUGUAGCGGUGAAAUGCGUAGAUAUUGGGAGGAACACCAGUGGCGAAGGCGGCUUUCUGGACUGCAACUGACGCUGAGGCUCGAAAGCCAGGGGAGCGAACGGGAUUAGAUACCCCAGUAGUCCCUGUCUCUUAUACC